GGAAAUACCACAUUAAAAUUUGCACAGAUAGAUUCAUGCUGUAGCCAAUUAUUGUCUGAAACUGAAAGUGAAAAUAUAAUGCCAUGCAGUACAAUAGUAAAUACUACGCAAGAAAAUUUCAAAAAUGUACAAAAAUUUGUCAUAGCACAUGAGUUCUUAUUUUCUUCAUCAGACAGUUCUGAUGAAGAAUUAAUUAAUAGUAUCGAUGAUAGCAUUGAACCUGAUGUUCGCUUUGGUAUAGGCCAGUAUACUGUUAAAAAGAGGAAAAUAGAUACUUUGAACAGUGACGAAGAAAUCGAGUAAAAAGUUCCGAAAUCUUCAAAUGUUGUUGCAGUAUUACGAGAUAUUAAUAACGAGAAAGAAAAACAGAAAGAGCGUCGACACAAAGAAAAGAUAGAAGUUCUUCGAGAAUUAUUUUCCGCAAAUAAUAAAUACUUUUUCUUUAAUAAAAGACAUAUCAUAAACACGAGCAUCAUGACAUUUGCUAGACACUCCAGUAAAGCAGUCUAUAAAUCUUUUUUUUGCGUCGCAUAUGCCUUGUAAUGUAAGUGCAGUUUCAUCGUGUCUAUUUACAUAAGUAUGACGAAUUUUUUUGACAGGUGUUCUAAUAGAAAUAUACGUGCCAUCUAUGCAUCCUACAAUUCCAUCAAUUUCACAUAUAUUUCGAAAUUCUUGAGCCUUUUCUUGAUGUUCUUGUUCUGUUGCAGGAAAUCGGAUUAUUGAUGGAGCCAAAUCUACUAAAAAAUUUGUAACUCUUUUGAUAAUAUGAUGCACUGUGGCAAUUUGCAUGUCAAAACGAUCUGCUACACUCCUUAAUACCGUUUUAUAUAUAUAUAUUUGCA